rnacentral:rRNA from 1 species
CGCCUUGCCAGCCGCUCAGAACUUAAAGGAAUUGACGGGGCCGCACAAGCGGAGGAACAUGUGGUUUAAUUCGAUGAUACGCGAGGAACCUUACCUGGGCUAGAACGCAAUCGGAAUCAGGCCGAAAGGUCUGCGCCAGCGAUGGCCGCUUGCGAGGUGCUGCAUGGUUGUCGUCAGCUCGUGCCGUGAGGUGUCGGGUUAAGUCCCAUAACGAGCGCAACCCCUACUGCUAGUUGCCAGCGGGUCAUGCCGGGGACUCUAGCGGAACUGCCAGCGUAAGCUGCGAGGAAGGUGGGGAUGACGUCAAAUCAGCACGGCCCUUACGUCCAGGGCUACACACGUGUUACAAUGGCCAGUACAGAGGGCAGCCACCCCGCGAGGGGGUGCUAAUCCUAAAAGCUGGUCCCAGUUCGGAUCGGAGUCUGCAACCCGACUCCGUGAAGCUGGAUUCGCUAGUAAUCGCGCAUCAGCCACGGCGCGGUGAAUACGUUCCCGGGCCUU